rfam:Xenopus laevis strain J chromosome 7L, whole genome shotgun sequence.
GCCCAGUGAUGAUUCCAAGGCGAAUAUGAUUCCUUCCUCUCUAGCUUGAACAUGGUUUUUUUUUUUGUUUUUUUUUUACUCUCGGUCUGUAAUCUUGGCAUCUGUGGAGCAGUUUUUCUCAGUUGCUGUAAGGCCAGACCAACAUUAACAUCACUGGUUUCCCUUGACAACAUUGAUCUGCCGACUACAGUGAGUGUGCGGAGACCAAGGGCACCUACACUUUGCAGUAGUAAAUAGAUCAGUUUGCUGGAAGGCAUGAAUUAUUUUUUGGAAAUCUGAUGGAG